GUUUGUUAACUGUGUUACGUUCCAGUAGAAAAUUCGAAAAAUGGUGUGCUACUGUCUGCCAACUACCAAGUGUUUUUUUUUCUCGUGUGUUAUGGAAGUAAGGCAGAUCAACUGGAUUAUUUUUCUGGUAUCUUGUCUCAUCUAUGCCAACUGUGAAACCCCAAAACUGUUAGCAACCUAUAGUUGUUGCAUUCCAUUUUGCUAUGAAGUUGCUCACCUAGAGAUUUAGCUCGUGAAACUUGCAUUGCAAAGAAUGAUGACGGGGAAGAAAUGUCACCAAUGAUACAAAUGCUGUGGGAUGGAAUACCAUAAUAUUAUGCUGCUACCCUUAAUACGCUCAUGAUCUUCUGUCAUUUCCACUCUGACUAGUGCAUGAUCAUCAUCAUUUUGUGUAUCCAACUAUAACCACCACCAUUUCAGCAUUCAUCUUACAAUUUCUACUUAGCUGCGAACACACAAACAUAUACGUCAAAAGCAUUUCCUGUGAACUGCCAAGCCUUUGCCUUCAUCUUCAUAACUUCAGGCCCUACAGUCUUUCCAGCAUUUGGACAACAGGCGACUAUGCCUUCUUCCUCAUUCGGAUUCAUCCUCAAUAUUCAAAGUUUUCCCUUCUUCGCUUCAUCGUCGUCCCGUCUUCGCCUCGUCCGUCCAUCGCCUCGUCCGUCCAUCGCCUCGCCCGUCACCCCGCCUUCGCCUCAUCGUUGCCCGCCUCGCCCGUCGCCCCGUCAUCGCCUCGUGGUCGCGCCGUCUUCGCCUCGUGAUCGCGCCUUUUUCGCCUCCCCUAUCUCCCCUUCGUCACCUCGUGGUCGCCUCAUCGUGGUAUUGUUUUGUUUUGUUUCGUAUUAUGUAAUGCUAAUCUAAUUAACUCGUUGGCUGCCACCCACCCACUUUGAUCCCCUUUUUUUUGUAGCUUGACAGGGACGGGCCGCGCUGUUCUGCUCCAUGGUUUAUCUGCCAUGGGGUGGAGCAGCGCCACUGCCCAAGAUUGGCCGAAUGGCCCACAGGCAACGCACCAUAGGGAAUUCCCUUAUUCGAUGCGGCUGAUGAGACCGGGGGUGUGCGUUCCCAGAAAGGUCUCAUCGCCGUGUCAGCCCGGCCUACCCGGCCCCCUUGGUCGCUAUCCCUAGGAUAGCGACAGUAGCGAUUGUAGAAAAUGGUGGCGUGGCAGCCAACGAGUUAGUUGUAUGUAUUUGUGUAUGUAUUGUAUUUUGUAUAGUGUAUUAAAAUGUAUGUAAA